rnacentral:lncRNA from 1 species
AAAAGAAAAGUUAUGCUUAGUACACAAUAUUUUUUGGCAACUCUUUUGUCUUUACUUCAACAAAUAUUCUGGGAAUCAAACAGAUAAAUGCUUAUCCAAUGCAAGAAAUAAUAUAAAGAAAUAAAGGUCCAAGUGGUAGUUGGUAUUUAUACUAAAAAAGUAGUUCAAGCAUGGUUAAUUUUCCUUGCUUAGUGAAAUACGUGGUAGGGUAAAUAUUAGAACAUAUAUGGCCAUUUUUCUCCGCUCAUUUACUCUCAUUGGUUUCAAGUCACAUCCAAGAAAAAGUAUAUGGCUAAAAUAGUGUCAUACUCAUAUAUAGUAGUUGUUUUUCUAUCCUUGUCCUUUUCGUUAAUCAACUAUCUUCCACACCAAUUUAAUUUUUGAUGCAUUAAUUCUUGAAACCACUAAAAGAAAACAAUGAUAGUUAUCUUCUCAAAAAUCAUGUAACACAUCUUUACUCCCACAAAAAUGGAUAAUUUCUAUACACAACCAGCAACUAUAGUACUAGCUAUACUUUUAGUGCUUCUAUACAACAUAUGGAGGGUAAAAAAACCUAGUAACAAAUUCAAGGGUAUGAAACCACCAGAACCAUCAUAUGCCUUACCUUUAAUAGGUCACCUCCAUCUACUAGGAAACCAAAUCCCUCUUGCAAGAAUCUUUGCUUCAUUUUCAGACAAAUAUGGUCCUAUCUUCCAAAUCCAUUUUGGAGCAUACCCUGCACUUAUUAUUUCCAACAAAGAAGCAAUCAAAGAAUGUUUCACUACAAAUGACAAAAUCUUAGCCUCAAGACCAAAGUCAAGUCAUGGAAUUCACCUAGGUUAUAACUAUGCUGGCUUUGGUUUUGCACCUUAUGGCCCAUAUUGGACCAAGCUAAGAAAAUUAACCAUGCUUGAACUACUUUCGUCUCGUCGCCUUGAAUCGUUGAGACAUGUUUAUGAAUCGGAGAUCGAUACUUUGAUAAAGGAUUUAUCAUUGUAUGUUAAGGUUGGAAAGGUUAAGGUUGUGAUAAGUGAAUGGUUGGAAAGGUUAACAUUUAAUAUAAUGACAAAAAUGAUUUGUGGGAAAAGGUAUUUUGAGUAUUUGAAAGAUGUGGAUGAUGUUGAAGCACAUGGGAAUAUUGUGAAACUUAUAAAAGAAUUUAUGCAUAUUUCUGGUGAGUUUGUUCCUAAGGAUUUGAUUCCAAUUCUUGGUUGGUUUGGUUUUGAAGGAAAAGUGCUAAAAUCUAUGAAAAGAAUUGCUAGAGAUUUGGAUGCAGUUGUUGGAAGCUGGGUUGAAGAGCAUGAUGUUGAGAUUGAGAGUAAGUCAAAUGAGAAAUAUGAUUUCAUUGAUGUUAUGCUUUCUGUGAUUGAAGAUGAUCCUACUUCUGGUCAUAACCGUGAUACUAUCAUCAAGGCAAAUGUUAUGGUAUGCAUUUUCUCUUUGUUCUGAAAUUUGCAAUGUUUUUAUUUAGAAACUAUGAAGCACGGACACAAACACGGAUACGAGACACAAUAUGGACACCGACACAUCGACACGGAUAAUAAUUUGAGAAAAUAAUGUAGUUCAGUGUAAUCAUAGGUGUCGUGUUGAUGUCGGACACGCGUCGAUGUCCGACAUCAAGACACGCCUAAUUCGAGGAGUGUCCGUGCUUCAUACUUCAAGUAAAAUGAAAAUCAGAACAAUUAUUUACAUGCAAAUAACUAAAUUUAACACACAACUUGGUGUAAAAAACAAACUAUUGUAACAUCAUAGCUUAAAAUGUUAUCAAAUAAUUCAGAAAUGGGGAUGGGUUGUUUUUAUUAUUUAAUUUGAACAAAUUAUUAUAAUUAUUAGUCAACAAGUCAACUUUUCAUAUUCAGAAUCUUAUGUUAGCUGGGUCAGACACAACAUCAACGACAAUGACAUGGAUCCUAGCCAUAUUGAUGAAUAAUAUGAAUGCUUUAAAACAUGCACAAGAGGAGAUUGACCAUCACAUAGGUAGGGACAGAAGGGUAGAAUCAUCAGACAUAAAAAACCUAGUUUAUUUGCAAGCAAUUGUGAAAGAAACUUUAAGGUUAUACCCUCCAGGUCCACUAUUAGUACCCCAUGAAGUAACAGAAGAUUGUUACAUUCAAGACUAUUAUGUACCAAAAGGGACACGUGUGUUUGCAAAUGUGUGGAAAUUACAUAGAGAUCCAAGUAUUUGGUUAGAGCCUGAAAAGUUUUUACCUGAAAGGUUUAUUAAUGAGAAUGGAGAAAUUGAUCAUGAAAGUCACCAUUUUGAGUACCUUCCUUUUGGAUUAGGGAGAAGAGCUUGUCCUGGAUCGUUGUUUGCUACACAAGUUAUUCUCAUUACACUUGCUCGUUUACUUCAUGGGUUUGAUUUGGAAGUGCCAAUGGAUGAAGUUGUUGAUAUGAGAGAAGGGUUGGGUAUUACCUUGCCUAAGUUAACUCCAUUGCAAGUUGUUUUGACCCCGCGAUUAUCAUGUGAACUCUAUCGAUUAUAAACAUUUUCCCUUUUGUGUGUGAUCGGAUAUGCUGCUACACAUGUUCAUUGAACAAUGAUGUAUUUGAUCUAUAUUACAAUCUUUUACGUUAGUUAUUCAAUGAAUCUAAAAUACAGAAUCAUGAUUGUUAUCUUUACUCUUUAGUAUAUAUUUGAGACCACAUUGAUUAUACAGAAUCAUGAUUGUUAUCUUUACUCUUUGGUAUGCACGAACGGCCAAACCA